CAUGUUGUAGUAAGUUAUGCA
rnacentral:siRNA from 1 species